rnacentral:lncRNA from 1 species
GGCAAGGUGUGCAAGCCCCGUGCAAGCCGUGCGAGCCCCGCAUGAGGUUGUGCAAGGCGUGCAAGCCCCGUGCAAGGUGUGCGAGCCCCAUGUGAGGUUGUGCAAGGCGUGCAAGCUGUGCAAGGCGUGCAAGGCGUGCAAGCCCCGUGCAAGCUGUGCAAGCCCCGUGUGAGG